ensembl:lncRNA
UGUAACGGGUGUAUAUUAUCUAAAAAAAUCAUUAUUAUUUUGGGGGACUUUUAUUUUGACGGGCGGAUUGGUUUUCGGCGAUGAGAGUCAGCGAGGAGAAGAAGAACGCGGGUGUAUGUGUGACACACAGAAAAAGUGAGUGUUGUAUUUGAGAAGCUCGUCCGAUAAAGUGACUUAAACGAAAGUUAAUCGGGGCUUAGAUCGAAUAAAGGACAACAUCAAGUAAUUUUUGUGAGCUGUGUCCCGCGUUUCGUAGUUUUUUUUUUUUUUGUGAGUUUUGAUCUGUGAAUCGCAUUGCGUUGGACUGCUGGAGUGACGCAGUAAUGUUUGUGAAGGCUACAAGAACUGUGAGUGUAUUUAACUUACAAGUUUAGCUUGAUUAGUGACGAUUGAAGAGAUUUUAUUUUUUUUCUUCCUCCACAUUUUUGUUUAAGUUUUGGACUUUUUCCAUCUUGAUUGAGAAGCACUCGUACAAACUAACGUUUCAGGAAGUUUGGUCACGCGCAUUUUUGUGUUCGGCACGUGUUAUCGCACGUGAGAUGCAAAUUGCUGUCUGCAGUUGGUGCUGAACAUCGGGGGGGGGGGUUUCCAGAAGAUUUGAGUUUAAGACUAUUUUGUGUUACCCUGCCAUCCAACGACAUCUCAGUUUGACAUCUCAGUGGUGUAUCGCAGUUUAAUACAUCCCUGUUGGUUCAUUUCAUUUUUGAUUCACCUCAGUUUGAUUCAUUCGCUUUCGACUCAUUUUUGAUUCAUUUUUUUGUGGGACAUUUCAUUGAGCUUGAGUGACAUUGCUACGAAAUCUCAAGAUAAUUUCAACGCACGCUACGUCAAGAACUCAUCUCAAUUCCUUAUUUUUUUUAUAUUUUUUGAUCCGAGGAACUUUGAACUGUGAGAGUUCGGUUGAAUCACAGAACCUAAAGUGAACUGAAGCUGUCAAGGAGUAGGGGCGUCUCAGCUACUUUAUUAGACCAGAGGAGGGAGGAGUAUAUUAGAUUUUCUCACACCUUUUACUUUUACUUCAGGAAGCCAGUGACAUUACUUAAGCUGAAGCCUACCCUCGUCGGUCUGUACAUUCCAAUAAAGUAGAACACAACAUACAUACAAUUAGUGUGUAGUGAGACUAAAAGCACUGGAAGCGGAGACUAAGAUCUUUUCGUUAUUCAGUCUUCCGUGGCAGCACUAAUACAUCUUCCCCUACAAGACGGGUUAAAUACUCGUUACACGU